rnacentral:rRNA from 1 species
UACGUAGGGUGCGAGCGUUAAUCGGAAUUACUGGGCGUAAAGCGUGCGUAGGCGGUUCGUUAAGUCAGCUGUGAAAGCCCCGGGCUCAACCUGGGAAUUGCGGUUGAAACUGGCGAACUAGAAUCUGGCAGAGGGGGGUGGAAUUCCACGUGUAGCAGUGAAAUGCGUAGAGAUGUGGAGGAACACCGAUGGCGAAGGCAGCCCCCUGGGAUAACACUGACGCUCAUGCACGAAAGCGUGGGGAGCGAAA